AACAGAUAUGGGUGGCGAGUGGCGGACGGGUGCGUAAAGUAGGAAUCUUCCCUAGAGUGGGGGGUAACCCGGGGAAACCCGGGCUAAUACCGCAUAAUCUCCACGGAGCAAAGCCGGGGUCGUAAGACCUGGCGCUCUAGAUGAGCCUACGUCGGAUUAGCUAGUUGGUGAGGUAAAGGCUUACCAAGGUAACGAUCCGUAGCUGGUCUGAGAGGACGACCAGCCACACUGGGACUGAGACACGGCCCAGACUCCUACGGGAGGCAGCAGUGGGGAAUUUUGGACAAUGGGGGCAACCCUGAUCCAGCAAUGCCGCGUGUGUGAAGAAGGCCUUCGGGUUGUAAAGCACUUUUAGUGGGGAAGAAAGGCUCAAGGCUAAUACCUUUGAGCGUUGACGUUGUCCACAGAAAAAGCACCGGCUAACUCUGUGCCAGCAGCCCGCGGGUAAAUACAGGAGGGGUGCUAGCGUUAAUCGGAAUUAACUGGGGCGUUAAAAGGCGCAUGGUAGGCGGGGCAUUUUAAGUCGGGGUGUGAAAAGGCCCCCCGGGGCUCCAACCUGGGGAAUUUGGCAUUUCCGAAUACUUGGAAUGGUCUUAAGGU
rnacentral:rRNA from 1 species